CUACGGGUUGCUGCAGUGGGGAAUAUUGCACAAUGGGCGAAAGCCUGAUGCAGCAACGCCGCGUGAGUGAAGAAGGCCUUCGGGUCGUAAAACUCUUUUCUUGGGGAAGAAAUGAUGACGGUACCCAAGGAAUAAGCCCCGGCUAAUUACGUGCCAGCAGCCGCGGUAAUACGUAAGGGGCAAGCGUUAUCCGGAAUCACUGGGCGUAAAGGGUGCGUAGGUGGUCCUUUAAGUCAGAAGUGAAAGGCUACGGCUUAACCGUAGUAAGCUUUUGAAACUGUGGGACUGGAGUGCAGGAGAGGAAAGUGGAAUUCCUAGUGUAGCGGUGAAAUGCGUAGAUAUUAGGAGGAACACCAGUGGCGAAGGCGACUUUCUGGACUGUAACUGACACUGAGGCACGAAAGCGUGGGGAGCAAACAGGAUUAGAUACCCUGGUAGUC
rnacentral:rRNA from 1 species